rnacentral:rRNA from 1 species
GUGGGGAAUUUUGGACAAUGGGCGCAAGCCUGAUCCAGCAAUGCCGCGUGUGUGAUGAAGGCCUUCGGGUUGUAAAGCACUUUUAGUGGGAACGAAACGGUCCGGGCUAAUACCCUGGACUACUGACGGUACCCGCAGAAUAAGCACCGGCUAACUACGUGCCAGCAGCCGCGGUAAUACGUAGGGUGCAAGCGUUAAUCGGAAUUACUGGGCGUAAAGCGUGCGCAGGCGGUUUUGUAAGACCGAUGUGAAAUCCCCGGGCUUAACCUGGGAACUGCAUUGGUGACUGCAAGGCUUGAGUGUGUCAGAGGGAGGUGGAAUUCCGCGUGUAGCAGUGAAAUGCGUAGAUAUGCGGAGGAACACCGAUGGCGAAGGCAGCCUCCUGGGAUAACACUGACGCUCAUGCACGAAAGCGUGGGGAGCAAACAGGAUUAGAUACCCUAGUAGUCC